GUUGUUGUCGUUUUUAGACAAAGCUACUUAACCUGUUCACUGUAAAGUAAACCAGAUAAUAAUGUCUUAACCGGUAUAAUAUCUAUUGAUGUAGUUAGUAUCCUCUUUUGCUAAAGUAAUCGUAACCCUAACCUUAACAAUAAAAGCUUCCAAUAAAGAAGGGUUUGGUUCGUGUCGGCAGGAAGAAACCUAAAGGUGCGGAAGCUAGUAUCCUCUUUUGCUAAAGUAAUCGUAACGUUUUUUGUCUAGAUCUAUCGUCAACUUUUCGUAUUCAUUGCGUUCGAUUAUGCGUAAAAUAUGCAGCCUUGGCAGCAGAUUAGGUCUGGUCAAUUGUCCUCGACCAUGAAAAUUCUGUGUGUAGAACAGGUCACCGUCGGUAAUUCCGUGAUACUAACCGUUGCAGUUCUGGUCGGUCACGAGAAGAGCAGUACGUUGAUUUGAAUCCUUGAAGUUUUGCAGCUUAUGCAAAUCUCUGAUCACUGAAAAAAGCUCUUUUUUCUUUCCAGAGCUUGACGAUGUGAACAAAUUAAGAGCACAGCUCGAUCAGAUAAUUGCGGAUUGUGAAAUCGUGAUGCAGCGUUUCGUUGCAAAGUCGCAAGCUUUUAAUUCUGUGAGGAGGAAGGUAAUGAUUUUCUGUAUUUUAGGGGAUCAAAAUCAGAUAGGGAGAGAAUGUUUUGAUUGGAUAUGCAUCUGAAAUUUCUAUAUCUUUUGUGUGUUGGGGGGUGGGGGGGAGGNNNNNNNNNNNNNNNNNNNNNNNNNNNNNNNNNNNNNNNNNNNNNNNNNNNNNGGGGGAUAAUUCUAAAAGCAUGAUUAACGGAAGGUUCUUAGAGUGGAGUUUUUAGGGUGGAGUUCUUAGCGUAAUAUUAGAAACCGUCUCUUAACUUUUAGUUAGAACCGGCUCUUAAGUAAUGAUGUAGUAAGUGAAUAAUAGUGCUUUUCUUUUAGAUUUGGCCAUGUUGAUAAACUCGUGCCUGCCUUUGCCUUUCAGAUGAAGAAGCUGAAAAGAGAAAUUUGGUUAUCUAAGGAAACAUGAUGAUGGUGACUCAACUCAAAACAAACAACAAUCUCUGCUCUUCUAAUUGCUUCAUUUUUAUAUUUUAUGCUUUGUGUGGGGUUUAUGUAUGAACGUCCCUAAACUUUGAACUAACUAAAAUAAAAAAAUUAAAUCAAUACCCUUUUUUUCUUUUCUAAAGAAUAGAUUCUUUUGUAAAAGUUCAAGAGCAUUUAUACAAAUGAAACAAGAAUGAGCA
rnacentral:lncRNA from 1 species